UGCUCUUCAAAGUCCACCCUUGCUUAGAACCGCGUCCUACUCCUGCUGGAUCUCUGGUCUCCUGUCUGUCCCUAAGACCCACUGUGACCUGGGCUGCUGGGGACCUGGAAGACUCCUCAUAGCUUGUCUGACGCACAGACUGAUCUUCUCCGGGCCUGACUUCCGAGGACCAAGAAUAGCAUCAGUUGGCAGGGCUAGGGAACCGGUAGAAGGGGAAGCGCCUCCACCUGGACCCAGAUAUGGAAAAGGAGAUGGGAGUGGCUGGCUGAGUCGGAUGAAGAGCUGACAAGAGAGCCAGCAAAGGGAAGAUACCCAUACCCCAGCUCCAUGUGCAGAGCCAGGCCUUAAAAGCAAAGAGAAAGUAGAAGAGCCUUUAUGGACAGGUGUCCCACGGCUGAGAGUUCCGGAUUGUUUCAGCUGCGUUUCAAUGUGGUUCCAGAAGCAACCUGUGAGGUCAGGAGGGAAAAUGGAGGUUCAAGCCUCAGCCUCGUCCCCUUCCACCUCCUCAACGUCCACCCGGCUGGAGCGUCUGGGCACCACGGCCAGAGCACCCCCCUACUUUGGAGGAGGUUGCUGAUCCUGGCCCAGCCAGCAGAUCAUCUCCCAGGCAAUUUCGGAAGAGAAUCUUUGGCACCAGUGAGUCCCCGGUCCUCUUUAUCCACCGUCCAGGAACUUCGGGGACUAC